UGAAUUCACCACAGAAAAGACUUGCUGUGACAAAUAAGAAAGAAUUCACCUCAAGAACCUUUGGAUUAUUUAUGCAGCAGCUUGAUCAAGCAGAGAUCCUAAACACGAGGUAAACCUGAACAAUCCUUCCAACAGGCUGAAGGGAACACGGCUAGGUGGGUAGUUAUGGAUGAAUUGCCUCCAAAAGUGAUCAGCUAGCAGCUAACCUAUGCCUCUAUCUCUGUUGGCUCAGAAGCUCAGAAUCAUUGUAUGUCACUUGUGGAAGUGAAGAGUCCUGCCACCCCAUCAACAGGAUGUUGGGGGUGACUGGAUCGGGUCUGCGAUGUCUGAAGAUGUUUAAUCAAGGGGUUUAGCAUUAAGGAUUCCCUCAAUUUCAAUAAAAACAGUUUGCAGUACUCAUUCAGUGACUGUCUGUGCUCUGAGGGUCACUUGCUGGGCUGUUUUCAGAUAUCAAAUCUUCCACUCCCAACAUCCACCAAAAUGUUGGGCAUUAGGUGGGUUGAACGUAAAGUUUUUGAGGUUGAAGAGCAACAAAGGCAUCCUGAAGCUCCUUUUCCCCACCUUUGAAUUUCAUUCCCUGAUCUGAUAGGAUCUCAAAGGGUUUCCUUCGUCAAGCAAUGAAGCAACGAAGGGCUUUCAGGAAUGAAUCACUGUCCAUCCCAAGAUCAGUAUGCACUGCAUGGGUUGUCAUCUUUUCUCAGUUCGACCUCCUACUGUCGUGGAAAUUCUAAUUCAAUAACAAUUUGUAGAGACUAAGAAUGAAAAACCAAACAGAGCGUUGUCUUUGUAUUGCUUUAAUUCUCUGCAGAGAAUUAUCUUGUUUACACACAGCUUGAGUCUGUGUGCAAAGAGAUAACACAGACUCACAGCCCACUUUUUAUAGUAUGUAAAAAGAUACUGCCCGUCCCUGGUACACAGUUUCCCCUUAAAUGUUGUUUUUCAACCUAAAGCAGUUACGUGCACAAGUUACAUAAAAGAACUCAAUGUACCUAUGGACUAUAUACUACCUUGACCACUGUAUGUUUAAAAAGACACUUAAA